ACCAGUGAUGAUGAAAUCCAAUUAAAUGAGGUGUAAUGGAUCUGAGUCCCUGUUUUACAGGGGGAACCUCUCAGUGAAACUGCACCAUUUUGAUAUUACUGGAUUUAACUGAGGU
rfam:Beta vulgaris subsp. vulgaris chromosome 5, whole genome shotgun sequence.